AGCGAACGCUGGCGGCAGGCCUAACACAUGCAAGUCGAACGGAUCCUUCGGGAUUAGUGGCGGACGGGUGAGUAACACGUGGGAACGUGCCCUUUGGUUCGGAACAACUCAGGGAAACUUGAGCUAAUACCGGAUGUGCCCUUCGGGGAAGAUUUAUCGCCAUUGGAGCGGCCCGCGUCUGAUUAGCUAGUUGGUGAGGUAAAGGCUCACCAAGGCGACGAUCAGUAGCUGGUCUGAGAGGAUGAUCAGCCACAUUGGGACUGAGACACGGCCAAACUCCUACGGAGGCAGCAGUGGGGAAUCUUGCGCAAUGGGCGAAAGCCUGACGCAGCCAUGCCGCGUGAAUGAUGAAGGUCUUAGGAUUGUAAAAUUCUUUCACUGGGACGAUAAUGACGGUACCCGGAGAAGAAGCCCCGGGCUAACUUCGUGCCAGCAGCCGCGGUAAU
rnacentral:rRNA from 1 species